rnacentral:sRNA from 1 species
AUUUAAAUUUGAUUUCUCUUGUCUGUUUCUAAGGAAAACGUAACGCCCAAACUGAACAGACACUUAAGUGAACGUAAUACUCUCACUAAUCUCUCAUUGAUAAUAAACUAGAUCCACUGACAAGAUGUUUUUUUUGAGCGAUUCAAACAGCGUGUGCAUCUCCAAUGCAGGCGGUCAAAAUAUUGUGACCAGGGUUUGCUCACGGAAUGGCGAAUCCAUCAGUAUUACAAAUGGUACUAUCUACCAGAACGUCAACAUGACCAAUACAAGAAAACGAAGCCAUGACCAGAUGGACCCUCAGGAGGAACUA